UGGGGAAUAUUGGACAAUGGGCGAAAGCCUGAUCCAGCAAUGCCGCGUGUGUGAAGAAGGCCUUCGGGUUGUAAAGCACUUUCAGUGGGAAAGAAAAGUUUAGUGCUAAUAUCACUAGGCCUUGACGUUACCCAAAGAAGAAGCACCGGCUAACUCCGUGCCAGCAGCCGCGGUAAUACGGAAGGUGCAAGCGUUAGUCGGAGUUAUUGGGCGUAAAGGGUGCGUAGGCGGCGUUUUAAGUUGGAUAUGAAAUUUUGGGGCUCAACCCCAAAGCUAUAUCCAAAACUGGAAUGCUCGAGGAAUGGCGGAGAAAACGGAAUUCCAUGUGUAGCGGUGAAAUGCGUAGAUAUAUGGAAGAACACCUGUGGCGAAAGCGGUUUUCUAGCCUCCUCCUGACGCUGAUGCACGAAAGCAAGGGGAGCAAACAGG
rnacentral:rRNA from 1 species